AAAGCAUUUCAAGUAUUACAGCUGGCGACGGUGCAGAACCGAUCGAAAUACGUGUAAUCAGAAAAUGGCUUUCAUUUGUCUACAAAGAGGAGUACUGCUUCUUAUUUGUUGACAGAGAGGGUACUGCAAUUGAAGCUAUCGGUAGCAAACGUGAUAAAGCAUUCCUGGAUGCCAAGCUUGUGUUGCAAUCAUGUUACCGUGUGACAAAUUAUUUGUCUGCCAGAGCAAGGCAGAGCCAUAAUGUCGUACCACGUGCAGCUACCAUCAAACUUGGACGGGGAACUCACUUUACACCUAUAGAUGACUCUGCUUUCCCUACUAACUACUUCAACUUUAUCCCGUUUAACAGGCUGCGAGACCGUGAGGGUAAUCAUUUUCUGCUCACAGACUACAUUGGCAGGUUUGAUACUAUUACUUCUGAUGGUCCAACAAAAACAAACAAGCGACUGAUGAAGCUUUUAGUUGAAGAAGACAG